AGAUGGCAGUGAUGAUUUAUAUUUGUUCACCUGACCAAUAUAUGAAGGUGUACAGUCACUACCUCUUCUGAUGCCAUCU